rnacentral:rRNA from 1 species
UAGGGAAUCUUCCGCAAUGGACGCAAGUCUGACGGAGCAACGCCGCGUGAGUGAAGAAGGAUUUCGGUUCGUAAAACUCUGUUGUUAGAGAAGAACAGCGCAUAGAGUAACUGUUAUGCGUGUGACGGUAUCUAACCAGAAAGCCACGGCUAACUACGUGCCAGCAGCCGCGGUAAUACGUAGGUGGCAAGCGUUGUCCGGAUUUAUUGGGCGUAAAGCGAGCGCAGGCGGUCAAUUAAGUCUGAUGUGAAAGCCCCCGGCUCAACCGGGGAGGGUCAUUGGAAACUGGUUGACUUGAGUGCAGAAGAGGAGAGUGGAAUUCCAUGUGUAGCGGUGAAAUGCGUAGAUAUAUGGAGGAACACCAGUGGCGAAGGCGACUCUCUGGUCUGUAACUGACGCUGAGGCUCGAAAGCGUGGGUAGCAAACAGGA